GGGAAUGAUGUGCGGAUCAUCCUUGGCCAGUUUGACCAGAAUAUGGCAGCAAAAGUGUUCUGUUGUGCAUAUGAGGAGAACAUGUAUGGUAGUAAAUACCAGUGGAUCAUCCCGGGCUGGUACGAGCCUUCUUGGUGGGAGCAGGUGCACACGGAAGCCAACUCAUCCCGCUGCCUCCGGAAG
rnacentral:sRNA from 1 species